GUGAUUCAGCCAUUCUGGGGAAGUGAAGAAGGCCUUAUGGUUGUUAAGCACUUUAAGAAAGGAAGAGAAUUUUUUAGUUAAUACCUAGGAGGAAUGGGCGGUACUAGCAAAAAAAACCCCGGUUAAAUCUGUCCCAGCAACCCGGGUAAUACAAAGGGUGCUAAGAUUUAUUGGAUUUAAUGGGGGUAAAGGGGGGGUAGGGGGUUUUUUAAGUAAAAUGGGAAAUUCCCGAGGUUAACCUGGGAAAAGCCUUUGAAAAUGGGAAGUUAGGAGUAGGGGAGGAGGAUGGUGGAAUUCCAGGGGAAGGGGUGAAAAUCGUAAAGAUCUGGAGGGAAUAACGAUGGCGAAGGCAGCCAUCUGGCCCAAUAAGGACCGAAGAGGUAGGAAAGCAUGGGGAACAAACAAGAUUAGAAACCCUGGUAGUCCAUGCCGUAAACGAUGUAUAAUAGCAGUUGGGGCAUUUGAGCAUUCAGUAGCGCAGCUAACGCGAUAAGUAGUCCGCCU
rnacentral:rRNA from 1 species